AUUGGAAAGGCUUCCUGUCUGAAGCCUUUCCAUACUGGUACUCGAUGUUCCAGUUUUGUGACACGAGAAUGGCACGAGAAUUAGUGUACCGCUGAGUGUACCGCUAUACACGUGGUCGACACGUAGUCGACACGUUGUUGAUACUUUUUUGACACGUGACCCCGUCAACGGUCUGCUUUGUGCCAAUGCCACUCGGUAAACGCCGAUGUCGCGUACGACAAAGACGACUAUCCCGUACGCGAAAUAGUUGAGAACUGCAUGACGUGGACCUGACGGCAAGGACAACUGCGAGGAGGCCCCUUUCGGUACCCCUGACGGGGAGGAGAACUACAGAAGUCGACGAAGUCGAACGAGGAGGCCCCUUUUCCGUACCCCAUACUGCAAAGUGCCAUUGAUGGAUACCUUUCGCACCUGGAACGACCCCUUAAGCGCUGUCGCGGCGACUAUCCCGUACGCGAAAUAGUUGAGAACUGCUGACGUGGACCUUUUGCACCUGGAACGGCCCCGUAAACGCUGUCGUGUCGGCGGAGUGAAUGUGCAGGGCGAAAAGAAUUGCUGCAAAGACGUCCCCUAGCCCUCUAGGCCUUUAGCUUUGGAGACAUCGCCGGCGGACUGAAUGCGCAGGGCGAAAAGAAUUGCUGCAAAGACGUCCGCUCUAGGCCUUUGGAGACAUCGUGGGAACUCCUUCCGGUACUAUACAAACUGCUGACGUGGCCGUGGAGACAUGGUGGGACUUCAUGUACAUGGAUACAUGGUGGGAAUUCCUUCCGGCACCCCCAUACCGCAAAGCCAACGGUGGGGAAGGAGAAGUGCAGACGUGCAGGAAGACGAACGAGGAGGAACCAGGACGAGCGAGCAAUGGCAGGACUAGCUGGACCCCCUGUUGCUGAAUUGGCCCGAUGAAUCGAAUGUCUUCCGCAACUGGAACGGCCCAGUAAACGCUGUCGUGUCGGCGACUGAAUGCGCAGGAGGGAAAAUAUUGCUGUGAAGACGUCUCCUCUAGACCACGGUAUAUCAUCCCGUGACGACCACAUUGAAGUCUGAAUUUGAAGUGUGAAGAUGCUUCAGCAACCACAUCGUACUUUUCCAUUGCUUUCAUUGUGCUUCUACUGUACAUGUGUGUAACUUGUGGGGUAAACAUGUGAUGACAUUGUAUGCUGGCGACACGGUCAGAUGUUGUCCAUGCGUCUAACGUAAACCUGCAUGUUAUGCAUUGAAAAGGAUUUGCCACUUGCGAUCCUGGGACGAGUAUCAGGUCAGCUUUGUCCUGUGUGGGCUGUAUCAGAUUGCUGUUCACUUCUCUAUCUGUUGGAUGUGUGACUUUCUGCAAGUUUCUGGUGUAUGAUGGCCACUUCCUUGCUUGUCACUUUGUAUGAUAUUACAUUCUGUAUUCGCUGCUUCCAUGGCGUGGUCUGCAAACUGCAAUCCUUGGGCAAAUGUCAUGUUUGCUAUGUUGUGCUUUGGCCGUCAGCUUGUCUACAUGCUGUAGUUGCAUUAUUUUUGUUUCACAACUGACUUCCUCAAGUACGGUGGCCACUGCUUUGCAUGGCAUUAUAUAUGAAGAACUUA